rnacentral:rRNA from 1 species
UUCCUUCGGGAAACGAGUACAGUGGCGCACGGGUGAGUAACACGUGGACAAUCUACCCGACAAUCUGGGAUAACACUUCGAAAGAGGUGCUAAUACCGGAUAAGCCCACGCUCUCUUCGGAGAACGCGGGAAAAGGUGGGGACCUUCGGGCCUACCGUUGUCGGAUGAGUCCGCGUCCCAUUAGCUAGUUGGUAGGGUAAUGGCCUACCAAGGCUACGAUGGGUAGCUGGUCUGAGAGGAUGAUCAGUCACACUGGAACUGAGACACGGUCCAGACUCCUACGGGAGGCAGCAGUGGGGAAUUUUGCGCGAUGGGCGAAAGCCUGACGCAGCAACGCCGCGUGAGGGAUGAAGGCCUUCGGGUCGUAAACCUCUGUCAGAGGGGAAGAACCACCUGUUGGAUAAUACCCAACAGGUCUGACGGUACCCUCAGAGGAAGCACCGGCUAACUCCGUGCCAGCAGCCGCGGUAAUACGGAGGGUGCAAGCGUUGUUCGGAAUUAUUGGGCGUAAAGCGCGUGUAGGCGGUUUGUUAAGUCUGAUGUGAAAGCCCCGGGCUCAACCUGGGAAGUGCAUUGGAUACUGGCAAACUUGAGUAUGGGAGAGGAAAGUGGAAUUCCGAGUGUAGGGGUGAAAUCCGUAGAUAUUCGGAGGAACACCAGUGGCGAA